rnacentral:tRNA from 1 species
ACCGAAAUGGCUCAGUUGGAAGAGCGUUAGACUACAGAUCGAAAAGUCCCUGGUUCGAUCCCGAGUUCCCGCA